GUGUGAUAAUUUAUUGUAUUUAUGUGACGGAAUUUCGAUUCGCAUUUGUGGAAAAAUGCUAUUAACGUGCGAUAUGCGCAAUAAAACCCCAUUUUUAUAUGUUCUGCAGUUAUAAUUUGACGGGACACGUGCAAGUUUAUUGUACACUACUCACGGACGAAAACGGCCGUGUGCCGAUCGAAAAGAUCCGUUUUUAGACGAAAACGCCUCCGAGGCCGAUGACGGAGGUAUUGGAUGAAAAUUAAUAACAAAAACAAAACGAGAAAAAGAAAACAUGUACGAAAACUUUGGUCCCACGCAUACGAUGAAAAUAUUAAAAGCGUGUUUACGUUUCUCUAGCCAAACAACAAGGGAGACUUCGCUACCACCGUCGUCGACGUCGUCACCACGCAUUGCACCGGAGUAUAUAUAAUAUAAUAUUAAAUAAUAUUAUUAUAUGAACGCGCAUACGGCUUUUGCCCACGCAAUACGUUUGAGAGUCGAUGCGUAUAUUUAUUACGUGCACUAAAACGGUAUACAUAUGUAGUAUGUUAGUAUGUAUAAUAAUAUUAUUACGAUAUAAUAAAUAUUGCGCUUGACUUCGA